rnacentral:rRNA from 1 species
UACGAAGGGUGCAAGCGUUAAUCGGAAUUACUGGGCGUAAAGCGCGCGUAGGUGGUUCAGUAAGUUGGAAGUGAAAUCCCCGGGCUCAACCUGGCAACUGCUUUCAAAACUGCUGAGCUAGAGUACGGUAGAGGGUGGUGGAAUUUCCUGUGUAGCGGUGAAAUGCGUAGAUAUAGGAAGGAACACCAGUGGCGAAGGCGACCACCUGGACUGAUACUGACACUGAGGUGCGAAAGCGUGGGGAGCAAACAGG